GGAGACAUGCCCGAGUGGUCAAAGGGGUCAGUUUCGAAAACUGUACGCAGAAAUGCACGAGGGUUCAAAUCCCCCUGUCUCCU